rnacentral:rRNA from 1 species
UACGGAGGGUGCGAGCGUUGUCCGGAAUUAUUGGGCGUAAAGAGCUCGUAGGCGGCCUGUUGCGUCUGCUGUGAAAUCCCGGGGCUUAACCCCGGGCGUGCAGUGGAUACGGGCAGGCUAGAGGCAGGCAGGGGAGAACGGAAUUCCUGGUGUAGCGGUGAAAUGCGCAGAUAUCAGGAGGAACACCGGUGGCGAAGGCGGUUCUCUGGGCCUGUACUGACGCUGAGGAGCGAAAGCGUGGGGAGCGAACAGG